UACGGAGGAUGCAAGCGUUAUCCGGAAUGAUUGGGCGUAAAGCGUCCGCAGGUGGCUGUGUAAGUCUGCUGUUAAAGAGUGAGGCUCAACCUCAUAAAAGCAGUGGAAACUACACGGCUAGAGUGCGUUCGGGGCAGAGGGAAUUCCUGGUGUAGCGGUGAAAUGCGUAGAGAUCAGGAAGAACACCGGUGGCGAAGGCGCUCUGCUAGGCCGUAACUGACACUGAGGGACGAAAGCUAGGGGAGCGAAUGGG
rnacentral:rRNA from 1 species